GACGAACGCUGGCGGCGUGCUUAACACAUGCAAGUCGAACGGAAAGGCCCUUCGGGGUACUCGAGUGGCGAACGGGUGAGUAACACGUGGGUGAUCUGCCCUGCACUUUGUGAUAAGCCUGGGAAACUGGGUCUAAUACCGAAUAGGACCACGCGCUUCAUGGUGUGUGGUGGAAAGCUUUUGCGGUGUGGGAUGGGCCCGCGGCCUAUCAGCUUGUUGGUGGGGUAAUGGCCUACCAAGGCGACGACGGGUAGCCGGCCUGAGAGGGUGACCGGCCACACUGGGACUGAGAUACGGCCCAGACUCCUACGGGAGGCAGCAGUGGGGAAUAUUGCACAAUGGGCGCAAGCCUGAUGCAGCGACGCCGCGUGAGGGAUGACGGCCUUCGGGUUGUAAACCUCUUUCAAUAGGGACGAAGCGCAAGUGACGGUACCUAUAGAAGAAGCACCGGCCAACUACGUG
rnacentral:rRNA from 1 species